UUUUUUAACGUAUGUGUUAUCCCCUCAAAAUAACUCCAUAGAUCAUUACUAUAUUUACUUUAGUGAUUCCCUUUUUCUUCUUGACUAUGUUACCUCUGGGUAAGUUCUUCUGUUUCAAAUGUUUGUUUUGUAUAUGAAACGUUUUUGUUUUUUGUUUUUUGUUUUUUCUUUUCAAUUAGGGUCUACAUUGAAUGGUGCUGGCAACUGGAGAGUUACCUGGGUCAUAGACAUUAAACAGUAUUUUUCUCUGUCAUAUUUCUAGUCAAUACCUAGUACAUAGGAUAUACUAUGUAAAGCAUAAAUAAAAGAAAAUUAAAAGAAUGAAUGCAUAAAAUUAAUGGACUUAAUAUAAUAUUAAUAUAAAGAUUUUUUGUGUCUUGUUUAGUAUAUAAAGUUGGGAAUGUAAGAUUGUUGAGCUAUGAAAUUCACAAUGAGGAGUCAGUCAUGGUAAAUUAUCAAAAAAUGAAGAAAAUCAUUGGACAAGUGCUUUCCAGUUAAAAGAUUUAGAUACAAGAACAAGAAGGUAGAGGAGCUCAUGAAGACAAAUAGGGAAAAUUGCAGUUGAGAGUAGUCUUUCUUCAGAAUUUUUUUGAUUGUCACUUUUGUUGAAACCUAGUUAAUUUGAGAUAUUUGUGUGGCACUUACCUCAAUGCAUGAAUAAAGCAAGGGUUCAAAAAACAUUUUCAUCAUUAUAUUUAUUAGCUACCUCCAGCUAUUGCUCUGGAUUCCACGGUACCUCUUCGUACCUCUAAAAUGAACCUCUUUUAGUCAGUUUGUUUCUCUUCCUUUCAAUCAGUAAUGUCUCCAACAAGAUAGAAUUCUCUUUUUCUCAGAAGGAGACUGAUUUCAUAAAUCAAUGAUGGCUUUGGAAUUUAAGUUCACAGGUCUUUGUGCAGGCACCUGUCCUCCCCAAAUUGAUAGAUAAUCAAGAUCUUCAAUGACAAGCAGAAUGAAAAUUACCAAAAUAUUACUCUUCCUGAAAAUCCUCUCAUUAAAAUAUAUAUGUAUAUUCAUUUGCUUCUUCAUGAACUUUGUACCCACGUAUUGCUUAUUGCCUUUAAUUAUUUCCAUUCUUUAUUGUCCCCACACUGUGUUAUCAGCAACGUGAAGACCAGAGUAUUAUUCAAAUUUGAAUCUAUAACAUGUAGCAUAAUCCUUGGUAUAUUAUAAGACAUCAAAUGUAAAUUGGGAAAUGAAUGAAGUUAUCUGGUGAUGUGGAAUUGAAAUGAGCCACAUUUAUUCAUACAUACCUAUUCUUUAUAAUACAAAAUAUUUCUUUGUAAUACAUACUGCCAGAUGCUAGAGAUAAUGUUCUGAUCAACACACUCUUCUGUGGGUAACAUUUUAGUAAGGACACAGAGAUUAUAUAUCUAAUGGCAGCAUUUAUUAUUUAGUUACAAUUACAAAAAAAAAAAGUGCUGUGACUGAGAACUAAGAGUGCAGUGUAAAAGUAAACAAAGAGAUAUAUAGUCUAGGUGGUCACUGCUUCUUUGAAGAACUAUCUCAGAUAUUUCAUAUAUAACUAGGAAUUCAGUAGCCAAUGCAUGGAGAAGGAAACUUGUGGACAUAAGGAAUAGCAUUUGCUGGAGCUCUGGGGCAGCAGGCAUUCCAAUAUGUCCUGGAACUGAAGGAUGACUGGUGUGGUAGAGAUCAGAUAAAGAGUGACACCAAAGGAAACAUGGGUCAGUUACAUUAGAAUUUUGUGGAGCAGGCUUAAAUACAUGGGCUGGUUAUAAAAAGAUUUAGGAGAUAAAACCAAAUGGCUGCAGUGAAUAAAUUGGAAGGAAGCAAAGGUAGAUACUGUGAGAGCAGUUCAGAAGUCAAUGUGAUAGUCCAGGCAAGAAAAAAUGAUAGUUUGAUCUCAAGUUAUCCCAAAGAGAUGGAGGGAAACGGAUGCCUUUCAGAAAUAUUUAGAGAUAAAAUCAGCUAUUUUAUCUCUAAAAUAGAGAUAAAAUAUUUAGAGAAAUUGGUUUUUAGGGUCAUAAAAAACAAACAAACCAAAAAUAGGUGGGGGGAGGGAAAGGAACUAGAUCUGUCCAAAAGAAAACAGACUUCAUAAAUACACUAGAGCUAUUGUAUUUACAUGGUCAAACUAACAAUAAUUUCCAAUUGAUUUAAAAGAUACCUAAUUGCCAAUCUUAUUCCCCAUCUUUAUAAGACUGACUCCUGCAUCUUUAUUGGAAUGAAAAAGAAUGUGGAAGGCAAAAAUUCAUUUGAGAUUCUUUAUAAACUUUGAGUACCAUGGGGCUGAGUUUUUUCAAACUCUUUUGGAUAAAAUCUUUACGUGACAUUUAUUAUUUAUGUUCCUGGUUCAUCAGACAUAAAUCAACCAUGUUUCCUUGUCCUGUGUUUACAGAAAGACUACCAGUUCCCAGCCUUCUUCCACUUGGACAGAGCCAUGCCACUGAGGUCUAGUGUGAGUAGAAAUUGCAUACCUCUCGUAAAACACACUAAGGAGCCUAAAUAAUUGGAAGUGGCCCAGGCAGGCUCUUAGUGUCUAAGGGCCCUGUUUUGCACACUCACUGAUCAGGAAAAGGUGAUAAAUACCUGAAAGACCUCUGAUGCUUCUCAUAGCCCUGUAAUAUAGCCUCUUGUAAACAGAAUUUAAGCCAUGUAUCGGGAUAUACUGUGAUUGCAGAAAUGAUAACAUACAUCAUUAGACUGAGAAAGGAGACUCAUCUAAGCAACUGAGAAGAAGAGUGGAAACGAAUGAAAUAAAAGAAACAACUGUCAUCCAAUAUGUUAACCUCAAAUAUGAGAAAAUUAAUAUUUAUAAUGAAUAAAGAACAAAUAUAUUUGUGUGAGUAUGACUUGACAAAACAUACCACAAACAUAUAAUAUAAUUAAAUAUGCAUAUAAUAGUGAAAGAAAUUAAAACAAAACAAUCUUAGAAUAUAAAUCUUAUUUUAAAAAUGUAUUAAAAAUUAUGUAGUAUGUAAUGAUGAGAAUGUGAUGAAGCUAGCACAUUUAAACAUAGGAGGUGAUGUUGUAAAUUUUUGCAGCUAUCUUGGAAAAUAUUCUGGCAAUAUGUGUGAAAGAAAAUCAUGAUACUCAUAUUUUUGAUAUUAGAAUUUAUCUGGAACAGUUUGAGAAAAAAAGGACCUAAAGUUUUUACAGAGCCAUGUCUAUAAUACUGAAGCUAUCUCUAACAAUACAUUUCUAAAAACCUGACCAAAAAAGUGAAACCAUGACUCCAGUAAUGUUAUGGUGGUUUAAAUUUUGAAAUGCUAGUUUAAUAAAAGUAUCAUGUAAGCCUUUCAAAUAGUAUCCAUUAAGAAUAUGUAGAAAGUUAUAAUAAUAACUAACAUUAUAAAAAAUUUACUAUUUAUAAAGUGAUUUCAUUUAUUGCAUCUAACCCUGAAGCAAGUAGUCAAAGAGAAUAGUCAAAGGGAGCAUAAUGUAGAAGAUAAGAGCGUGGGUCCUAGAAAUAUACAGGUAUUAUUCCAACCCCAGCUUAUAAACCAUGUAACUUUUGGCAUAUUUUUCAUCCUCUCUCUGGUUCUUGGUUUGUUAUCUGUAGGAAUGAGAAUAAUAAUUAGACAUACUCCUAUGGAAUUCUUCAGAAGAUUUAGAUAAGGCAUUCAGUUAUAGAAAACUUAUUAUUCCAUUGUUCAGAUAAUAAAACUGGCCACCAGAAAAACAUGUAUUGUCUAAUAUGAUUUAUUUACUAAGUUUUAGCAUCAGAAUUUGAUUUCAGGUACCCAGAUAACACAUCUGUCAAAAAUAUGAUAUGCUAUUUUUGUCUGUGCAUAGUAUGUAUUUUGCUGCCUCAGCAAGAGAAUAUAAUCUCCUAAAAAAAGCAAAGAAAGAAAAGAAGAAAGAAAACUUGAGUCAUAUACAUGUUUUAUUUCUUCCAUCCCCUAUUAGUGUGCAAUGAACCUAAUAUGAGUAAAUAACCUUAAAGGAAUGAUGUUCCUUAAAUGAGUAAUUCCCUUGGCACACGUCUAACAAGAUGACCGAGAUCAUUUAAAGUGCCCCAGUUUGAACUUCCUCAACUUACUUCACUUCGGUACAAAAGUUUUUGUAUUCUUUGGCCCUCCAUCGUUAUUUCUUGGAAAGAUACAUCUGCCACCAGUUUCCUGGUGAUUCAUUGCAUUGCCUCCAAACUAAAAGCAUUAUCAUUCUUUCAGUCAUCUGGUCUAAUGACAUGGCUUAUGAUACAAUAAAAAUGGGAGAUACAAUAUUUCAGCUACAUGAAAUUUACAUGAAAUUUAGGUGCAUGCAAGAAAAAAAAACUGUGACUAGCAAUCAAGGGAUUGCUAAUUUAAGGUUAUGGGCUAAUAUGUCAACUUCUAAUGUUAUUAUUAUUUGGUGCUAUAAAAAUUUGAGAGAAAAAGAAGAAUGGGAAAAGAAAAACAAUGCUGGUAAGGAAAUUAUCCCCCUGCCCCAACUGCCUAUAUAUUUUGUUGUACUAUAAAACAUAUAUUUUUGCAUAAUAAAAAUCAUAGGGCUGGAUAUAUGAUUUAUUUUAACCAUAUGCUUGCCUGUGUCCUAUACGUUUUGUCCAGUUUACUCUUUUCUACAUAAUUUUCAAAAUUAGUGGAUGUUUUAUGCAUAAAAGUUUAUGGAAUGUUUUAAAUUUGUGGGUUCUUUUUGUCACUUUUCUGGAAUUGUUGCAAUACAUUAUAGAAGUAAUCAUUGUAGGAUAAUUACAAGUGAUUCACUUUAGUGUCAGUGAGAGAAAGGUCAUAUCUAUUUUAGGUAGACCCCAAUAAUUUAUUUCACAACCAUAACAAUAAAAUUGAAGUGAAUUUGUGAUAAUCCAUUUAAAUUGUUAAGAAUAACAGUAUUUGUGAAUUGCCUUAUCUGCAUUUGGUUCAUUGUGUGUGGGAAGAUAUCAUCACUAAUGGAAGAGUUUGCUUUGGACAUAAUAUAUGACUUUUCCUAGAAAAAAGAUCAUGAAGAAAAAGAAACAAUUUAUAUGGAACCUAUGUAAGUAGUAGAAAAGAAUAAUUCUCAAACUUAAAAAUUUAUUUUAGUCACACUAUGGCCUAAUGAUGCCCAAUUUUUGUACACACAUUGCAAUUUUUCUUCCACAAUCUGUGUAAUAUUAAGUACACAAUUCCUGAGAAAAUUGCCCUUUACAGAGCUCCACCACAAAAUACAGGAGGAAAACAAAAAAAUGUUCAACUGUACUUCAAUUUCAUAACACAUGGGUAUAUACAGUCUUAGGUUCCUGUCUAAGGUCAAACACAAUAACUGUAUUUAUCAGUUGAAUACCGUAUUCUAUGUAGAACAUGUUGUCAAAUGGAUCUUUGAAUCCUUCUUCAUCCUACUAACUCUAAUAAGUGUGUAAUAUCCUUUUCAGAUCAUUAAUUAUUCAUGAAUAUAUUAUUAAUUUAUAAACAUGAUUUUCCUUUGGUAAAUUUAGUUUCUCUUUAACAUAUUCUAUUCUAGAGCUUAGUGGCGGUAAAUAUCUUUUUUACGUAUGUUAUAUAAUUGUAUCUUACCUGUCAUUCUGAUGCCUCUUCUCAAAGAAUCUGUUUUCACUGUCACUGUUGGCUGAACAAUGAGCCACAGCACAACCCCACAGGUUGGCCAUACUAAAAUGUACUAAGAGUGUAUAAGAGGUUGGGCCAAUCUGAUUAUCUCAGCUAAAACUUUGAAAAAAAGACUCAGGAACAGUCACUAGGAGAUAGAUAGAUAGACACAUACAUACAUACAUACAUAUGUACAUACAUACAUGAUAAGUAGAUAUGAAUAGUCCCAUGAUCUAGCAUCUGCAAGCUGAAGACCAGAAAAGCUAGUGGUAUAAUUCAGUUUAUGCCUGAAAAUCUAAGAAUUAUGGGAGAUGAUGGUAUAAAUUCUAGUCCAAAAGCAGAAGGCCAAUGUCCCAACUCAAAUAAGCAAGAAAGAAAACAGUUCUCCUUUCGUCUGCUUUUUGUUAUAUUGAGACCAUCAAGAGAUUGGUUGAUGCCACUCUCGGACACUCGCACAAAUAAUGUUUAAUCUGGAGACUGUGGCUCAGUCAAGCUGACACACAAAAUGAACAAUGAUACAGAGAGAAACAAUGGGCACAGGGAAACAGAAGAGAGAACAAAUAUUUUCUGUGUCCCUAUAUUGUAUUACUACAUUUCAUAUGAUUUGUUUAAUAAAAUUAAUUACAUAUCUGCCUGAAAAAUGCAUUUUAGGCUUUUAUCUUCAUGACUCCAAGCAAAAACAUCACCAUAGAAUAGAGAGUUUUCUGAUGACAUUUUAAUGGUGAUCUAAGUUAGUAUACAAUUUGGCUAAGCACAUCUGGAGAGAUCUUAUUGUUAGCCCUCAACAAACCAUUCUAAUAUGAAGUACUUUGUCAUGGUUCAUUUGGUUUUGUUGUAUACACUCACACAGAGGGUGUGAAUUCACUAGUAGAGAUCCUUUGAAAGAGAUCCUACACAAACUUUGCAAGGAGAAUAGUGUCUCAGCAUUUAGACCCCCAACUUUUCAAUAGGCCUACAUAAUUAUUUUUAGGCCUAAGGAAAAAGUCAAUUUCUGGUUCGUAUGUGGCUGAUAUGAAGGAAAGUCCCAAGUAAAAGAAAAUCCAGCUUCCAAUAAAUCAUACGUAUGGCCAGAAAGAACAGUGCAUUUACUACCAGCAUAAUAGUCUAUACGUCUCCAAUUAAUGGCCCAAUGAACUGGAAAAAUGCACAACUUCUCCAUGAAGCCAGAUAAAAACAUCUACUUCACAGGACUGUUGUUGAAUAUUAAAUAUGGUGAUAUAAAUAAAAUGAUUUUCAAAUUACAAAUAAGUUCAAAGAAGUAUCAUUUCUUGUAUAUUUUCAUGAGCAAUUUCUUGUUCAUGACCAGGUAGACAUACUUCAUUUGUGCAGUUGCUAAUAUAAACUCCAUUACCCACUUUACUUUGGUUUAUACCAUAAUACUGCAUGUACCUAAUUCAGUUUAUCUCUCCAAGGAAUGGAAAAGUGCAUUCUGCUUGCUUCCUGUCAAAAAAGGUAGUUUAUUCUUGCUACUGAGAGUUUACUGGGCUUGUAGUGGAGUACUAAGGUGGUUCUGGGCCCCAUAAAUAUAGACUAUUUGAAUUUUAUAAUCUCUAUAUUAUUGAAUAAGUAGCUAAAAAUAUCAUUAACACUAAUUAUCUAACUUAAUCUCUAUAAUUGAAAUUAUUAACUAGAGAUUAUUGUUUAGAAAUUAUUGCAAUAUAUAUUUUAAUAGACUUCAGUUCAUUACUGAAAACAGCAUAUUUGUAAAUGUAUGAGUUUGCUUAUAUAAACAUAUGACCUGUAGACUUAGAAAUUUUGGAACACAAAAUGUUAAUGCCACAUAGACUUAUAUAAAAUUAUGUAUAUACACAUAGACUCCUAUGUUUACAUAUACAUAAAAUAUAUAAUCAAUAUAUAACAUUGAAAUAAAUAUAUGGUUUAUUGAUCAAAUACCCAGGCAUAAUAUGGAAAUAUUGCCUAAGUGAAAUUAAUUUCACCUCAUUAAUGAAAUAGCAAAUGAAGUUAAACACCAAAUGUAAUGCCCAAGGAAAACCGUGCGUAGAGAGACAUACAGGAACUAUGAAGUUUUUUAGCCAUUUGAACAAUUUAGACAUUGUUUUAAGGAAGCUAAAAGAUUACUCUUUGAUAAAUUUGCUUCUUUAUGUUCACUGUAACAUGGAAGCAAAUAUGUUAAGAACAGUAGUGGAGUAAUUCCAAGGGUCUUCAGGAAUAUCUGGAUUGCCACUCAAUGUAGAUACCUUGUCUUAAAAAAAUUUUUUUAAAUAGAAAAACUCCUGAAGUCUAUAAAUCAUAAACAAAAGCUGUUGUGCAGAAAUAAUACAAAUUAUGGAUAGAAGUAGCAGAAAUUGAACUAAUUUCAUAGAAUAAGUUUUGAAGUAAUGUAAUUUUGCUACUUCUAUAUUCCAUCAAUAAACAAUACAGUGUAGUACAUUAAAUUAUACUGGUAUAGUUCCUCUGUUAUAUUUUCAGUUUAUUUAAAAAUAGACAAAUGACAGAAGUAAAAUCAUCAAAGCAUCCUUUUUUUCCCCCGUAGGUUUCAGUCACAUAUACUGUUCCUUUGCUUUUAGUUGAUUCCUAUCAUAGAGUUGUUCUACACAUAGGAUUUCCUCAUCGUAGCCUAGGUGAAACCUAGCCUUGAUGAAACAUUUAUAGUUCACCAGUGCUUUUUGUCCAGGCAGUGUUUUCUUUAAGACUUUUGAAAUACUGCCAAUUGUUAAAUCAUUUUUAUAGCAAAUGCAGACUGAACAUAUACUACAAGUUUCUGAAAAUCCCAUAAAAAAUUAAAGUCAAUUAGUGACCCCAGUAAUUGUGCACUGACCUUUAGAGUACAAUAAACCUGUAUUUGGCUUGCUCAUAAAAAAAUGGAAUAAUACUUUCUAAAGACCCAUGCCCAGUAGCAGUAACAAUGAAAUACCUGUGGUAGUUAUGAGAGAAAACAAAAAUAGGAAUUAGGAAAAGAUUCAGUUUUUCCUGAAAGAAAAUGCUAACGAUGGGCCACACCUUGACAAUAAGGUCAUGUGUUGAAGGAGGGAAAUAUGUUAGAGUAGUAAGAAAACCUUUCAUUUAAGUGCUAUGCAAUUCAGGUUCACGUAGAGUUGGAAGGAAAAUAAAUCUUCCAAUCUUAGAUGUGCCAAACACAGAAAUUAAUGGUAGUCUCAAAAUAUUAUGUGUGUUGGUUUCCUAUUGCUACUAUAAUAAUUACUGCAAACUUAGUGUCUUAAAACAACACCAAUUUAUUAUCUUCCCAUUCAGGAGGUCAUAAGUCUACCAGGUGUUGGUAGGACUGUAUUCUUUCUGGAAGCUCCAGGAGGAAAUCAAUUUCCUUGUUUUUCUAGCUUCUGGAAAUGCCCACAUUCCUAAGCUUGUGGCCCCUUCCUCCAUCUUCAAGGCCAACAGUAUAGCAUCUUCUCUUAUCUCCAACCUCUGCUUCCAUCUUCAAAUAUUCUUGUCUGACUCUGUUUUUCCAACCUCCCUCUUAGUUUUUUUAAACCUCAUUUAUUUAUUUUGUGAGAAAGAGGGAGAGAGAAAAUGAGUGGAGGAGGGGCAGAGAGAAAGGGAAAGAGAGAAAAUACCAAGCAGGCUCUGCGCUCCCCACUUAGCCCAACCCCGUGGCUCAGUCUCAUGUUGGUAAGAUGAUGACCUGAGCCAAAAUCAAGAGUCAGACCCUGAACCAACUGAGUCACCCAAACUCCUUUUUCUAAGAACCCAUAAUUAUGUUGGCCCCACCUGGAUGGAUAAUCUAGGAUAAUCUUAUUGUCAUAAGAUCCUUAAUUGAAUCACAUUAAUAAAAUUAUGUAAAGUAACAUAUUCACAGGUUCCAGGGAUUAGGACAUAAGCGUUUUUGGAGAGGCCGUUAUUCAGCCCAUGAAUAUAUAUACAUACAUUCAAUUAAGAGAAUUACCUUUCCUUACUUUCCAGCAGACUAAAGCCCUUGGAAAUCUAGGUUCUAUAAUGGGCUACAAGUCAGCCUGUUUAAUUUGUUUCAUUUAAUCAAAGAACUCUGAACAAAAACCCUUUGCUUCUAUUUAAAAUUGUGCUAUGUUCAGAUCAAGAACAUGCAAUUUAUUUACUACUAAAGGAAAACAGUCUCAACUUUCAAACUCAAUUUUCUUCAAGUCUAUAUUAUGCAAAUACAAGCUGAGGGUUUCUUGCACAUUUGGAUUCUGCUGCCUUUAGUAGUUUUCUCUUCCUGUCCCUUAACUAUUGUGUACAAAAUUCAACUCCCUCGUCCAAUUUUCACAAGAAUCCCACUCAAGUGUUUCUAAACUUGAGUUGUAAUUGACAGGACCCAACACCCACCUCAAGGCCUAAGGUAUCCAAUUUCUCUCAAAGUCUUUUAUUUUUAUUCUCAUGUACCUACCCAUGCCUUCCCAGGAGCAACACAAACCUCUCCCCUGCCCUGUGCAUAGCAGUUUACAGGAUAUUUUUCCAUCAAAUCUAACAGAGGUUAUCAAAAGUUGUUGUUUUUUUAUUACAAAGUUAGCCAUGUUCACUAAACUUUUUUCCAUGACAUUUCACAUAAUAUGUUCAGUUUAUUUAGUAAGAAAAAAGGCAGAUGAAAACAGAAAAUACUGCCUGUUUCUUCAGUUUGUAGACUUUGAAUGUAACACUAAACAUAGUAAAUGCUAGCAGGGGUGUUAAUAUUUGUGAUCCAGGGUGUCUCAGAGAAAAUUCAAGGCUCUGGUAAUUAUUCUGAGUUAUUGGGAGAUGGAUUUUGAAAUUACCUGUGUUUAGAGAGCUCCACAAGUAGGAACUUUCAGCCAUGAACUAUAUUGGCAGAAAUAUAGAACAUCAUUUAAUAUUUUCUGCACUGUUAAAUAUUUAAUGGUUUCAAUCACAACAAAGAAAUUAGAGAACUUUUUAAAGUUUUUUAGUAAUAACAGCUAAGAAUCUUCUUUAGCCUAAAUUCUGGUAAUUUAACCAAAAUUACUGAAAUAAUCAUCCAAAAUACUGUUUUUUGGACUUUCAAAAAGUAUAUUACAGUCAUUUUAUAUGAUGUAUAUUAACUUUUUGUUACAAAUGCCUUUGAGAAUGAGAGUAUCUCUAAAUAUAAGAAAUGUCUUUAUUUUUUUCCUUUCAUUUAAUUUUUUUAUCCAAUAUCUGAAUUAUAGUAUAUUGGCAAAACUAAUAUUAAACAGUUUGUUUCACUGGUCUAGAAAUAAGUGAUGAAACACUUCCAUAACGUUGAAGUAUUUGAGUUAUGGAUUUGCUGUGGCAGGCAUGAUGAUUGGCUAUACAAAGACUGGGUGUCCCUGGGCCGCCUUCGUUAUAACAUUGUAAAAUGCUAACACAUUAACCUUUCGCUACUUUUUGUAACUAGGAUAGCCAAGGAUCCAGUUUAAAAGGAAAAAGCAUAACCAUAAAUUGCUUGGUGGGGCUCCCAGAAAUCACUUGAAAAGUGGAUGGAAUCAGGCGACCACCUCCCACCCCCUGCCAUUUACCUUCCCCACUUUUUUUUUUUUUUUUUUUUUUUUUUUGCCUGGGUUGGAGAUCACAUCUCUGGAAGUGGAAUGGCCAGCUUUACACCGUAAAA